rnacentral:rRNA from 1 species
GACGAACGCUGGCGGCGUGCUUAACACAUGCAAGUCGAGCGGAAAGGCCCUUCGGGGUACUCGAGCGGCGAACGGGUGAGUAACACGUGAGUAACCUGCCCCAGACUUUGGGAUAACCCUCGGAAACGGGGGCUAAUACCGGAUACGACACAGCUUCGCAUGGGGUCUGUGUGGAAAGUUUUUCGGUUUGGGAUGGGCUCGCGGCCUAUCAGCUUGUUGGUGGGGUGAUGGCCUUCCAAGGCGACGACGGGUAGCCGGCCUGAGAGGGCGACCGGCCCCACUGGGACUGAGACACGGCCCAAACUCCUACGGGAGGCAGCAGUGGGGAAUAUUGCACAAUGGGCGGAAGCCUGAUGCAGCGACGCCGCGUGAGGGAUGACGGCCUUCGGGUUGUAAACCUCUUUCAGCAGGGACGAAGCGUAAGUGACGGUACCUGCAGAAGAAGCGCCGGCCAACUACGUG